UACUUUAAGAUUAAGUAAAAAAAAUUAGUAAUUUAGUUAAAUGAGAAAUUUUAUAAAUUUAUAAAUAAUAAAAGGUAAAAUUUAAUUGUUAUUUUAUAUAGAUUUAAUAAUUUUAAUUGAAGCUAAAAAAUCUAACUAUAAACUAGGAUUAGAUACCCUAUUAUUUUAGGAAAAAAUUUUAAACUAGAUUAGUAUUAGUUAAAUACUUAAAAAUUAAAAGAUUUGGCGGUGAUUUAAUCUUUUCAGAGGAAUUUGUUUUUUAAUCGAUAAUCCACGAAAAAUCUUACUUGUUUUUGUUGAAUAAUAUCAGUUUGUAUACCAUCAUUAUCAGAUAAUUCUAAAAAGAAAAAUUAUCAAAUAUAAAUAACUAUUAAAAUUAGAUCAUGGUGCAGCCUAUAAACAAGGUAAAAUGAAUUACAAUAAAUUAUUUUAUAAUGAAUUAAUAAAGUAAUUUUUAUUAUGAAGGAGGAUUUGAUAGUAUUAUAAAUUUAAUAAGUUUAUAAGAUAGUGGCUCUAAAUCAUGUACAUAUCGCCCGUCGCUUUCAUUUAUAAAUGAAAUAAGUCGUAACAUA
rnacentral:rRNA from 1 species